CCUCCCACCUCCCGCCACUCCACUCGCAGCCGGGCUGACUGAGCACAGGGCUAGCCCGUGAGUAGCGGCGGCUUGUUUGCCGGGACGACGCGCGGCAUCACAAAGGCGCGAGGCAGGACGAAACUCAAGGCAGCAAAGACCGGCUUUCGCCCACCUAGUGCACAUUCGCCCCCUACCCUCAGGUUGGCAGCUUCACGCCCGAGGGGGGAGUCUCCAAGACAGGUGGUGAGCACCAGACAGCCCUGGGGCAGCUAGGCGGGAUGCGGCAGCGCGGACAGCAGUGUUAAGCGCCCCCACGCUGGGCCCA